UCUGUCAUCUCAUUCAUGGCAACUAGACUUCAGUUUGAAAAUAAUUGUGAAGUUGGAGCCUUCUCUAAACUUACCAAUGCCUACUGUUUGGUUGCCAUUGGAGGUUCUGAAAACUUCUACAGUUUAUUUGAAGCCGAGUUAGCAGGUGUUAUCCCUGUGGUCAAGACAUCCAUUAGUGGUAUUCGUGUUAUUGGUCAUCUUUGUGCUGGAAACAAGAAUGGGCUUCUCUUGCCCCAUACCACCACAGACCAAGAACUUCAACAUUUGAGAAACAGUCUACCUGAUCAAGUUGUUCAGCGGAUAGAAGAAAGGUUAUGUUCUCUGGGAAAUUGUAUAGCAUGUAGUGACCAUGUGGCCCUCGCUCACACUGAUCUUGAUAGGGAGACCGAGGAGAUUAUUGGAGAUGUUCUUGGAGUAGAAGUUUUCCGGCAUACCAUUGCUGAUAAUAUUAUGGUUGGUAGUUACUGUGCCUUCUCCAACAGAGGUGGUUUGGUCCACCCUUAUACUUCCAUAGAAGACUUGGAUGAACUUUCUACUCUUCUUCAGGUUCCUUUGUGGUUCAGACACCACAGCAACAGAGCUAUCUGUGAUUGAGAGUGUUUUCAAGCUAAGAGAAGCACAGCAUAGUGCCAUUGUGGAUGAGAUGAGGAAAUCCCUCAUUGAUACCUAUCCCACGGUACAGUCAAGUACAAAACGCAAUACCCUAAUUUCUUUCUCUGUCUCUGUCUCUCUCUCCAUUCGUGCUUUCAGCUCCGGCAACCUCUCUUCCGGCGCCGCCGCUAUCUCGGCCGCGCACCAGGUAUUCUUCUCUUCAUAUCUUCAAUUUGAUUACUUGGGUCAACGAUUUCUGUCAUUCUCAAUCAUGGCAACUAGACUUCAGUUUGAAAAUAAUUGUGAAGUUGGAGUCUUCUCUAAACUUACCAAUGCCUACUGUUUGGUUGCCAUUGGUGGUUCUGAAAGCUUCUACAGUGUAUUUGAAGCCGAGUUAGCAGGUGUUAUCCCUGUGGUCAAGACAUCCAUUGGCGGUACUCGUAUUAUUGGUCGUCUUUGUGCUGGUAACAAGAAUGGGCUUCUCUUGCCCCAUACCACCACAGACCAAGAACUUCAACAUUUGAGAAACAGUCUACCUGAUCAAGUUGUUGUUCAGCGAAUAGACGAAAGGUUAUCUGCUCUGGGAAAUUGUAUAGCAUGUAAUGACCAUGUGGCCCUCACACACACUGAUCUUGACAGGGAGACUGAAGAGAUGAUUGCAGAUGUUCUUGGAGUAGAAGUUUUCAGGCAGACCAUUGCUGGCAAUAUUCUUGUUGGUAGUUACUGUGCCUUCUCCAAUAGAGGUGGCUUGGUUCACCCUCAUACUUCCAUAGAAGACUUGGAUGAACUUUCUACACUUCUUCAGGUUCCUUUGGUGGCUGGGACCGUGAACCGGGGUAGUGAAGUAAUAGCAGCUGGAAUGACAGUUAAUGAUUGGACUGCAUUUUGUGGUUCGGACACCACAGCAACAGAGCUAUCUGUAAUCGAGAGUGUUUUCAAGCUGAGAGAAGCGCAGCCUAGCGCAAUUGUGGAUGAGAUGAGGAAAUCUCUCAUUGAUACCUAUGUCUGAACUGUGGUAGUAAUAGUGUUUUGUUUUAUGCAAGAUAUUGCACUGCUCAUUGUUGAGAUCUUCUAAGUUAAGUUUUGGUGAUAGUUUCUGUUGUUGUGUGGGCAUAUAUGUUCCCAUCAUGUUGUGCUCUUUUCCUUAGUUGUGAUAUCGUAUAAUAUCAGGUGCUGAUUUUUGUUACCAACAAAUCAAAUGCAUGUAAGGGUGCUCUUGCGUUCCACUCA